CAUCGGAUGGCCAAUGCACACCGAAGAAACAAUUCCCUAGAUAGAAUUAAGAUUAACGGGGUGUGGAUGACUGAGGAACAAGAGGUGAGGGAGGGGAUUGUGAAUGCUUUUCAGCAAUUGCUCUCAGAAGAGCCAGACUGGAGAGCUGACAUUGAGGGGUUGCACCUCCAAAGUCUAAACAUCCGUGAAGCUGAAGUCUUGGAGCUGCCUUUCACUGAGGAAGAAAUCCACUCUGCCCUGUUGGAAAUGAAUGGUGAUAAAGCUCCAGGCCCGGAUGGGUUCAUAGUGGCCUUUAGGCAAACUUGCUGGGACUUUGUGAAGGAGGAGAUUGUGGAUCUGUUUAAGGAGUUUUAUGAUCAAAGAUCCUUUGCCAAAAGUCUCAAUACCACUUUCCUGGUCCUCAUUCCAAAGAAAGGUGGGGUUGAGGACCUUGGGGACUUCCGGCCUAUUAGCCUUUUAGGGGGACUGUACAAGCUUUUGGCCAAGGUGUUGGCGAAUAGGCUGAAAAAGGUUCUAGGAAAGGUGGUUUCUGUGGAUCAAAAUGCUUUUGUGAGGGGCAGACAAAUUUUGGAUGCUUCGCUCAUAGCUAAUGAGGUGAUUGACUUCUGGCAUAAACAUAAGGAGAAAGGGUUGAUUUGUAAAUUGGACAUUGAAAAAGCCUAUGAUAGCAUCAAUUGGAAUUUUCUCAUGAAGGUCUUGCAUAAGAUAAGCUUUGGGUCUUGGUGGAUGGAGUGGAUUUGGUGGUGCAUUUCAACUGCCAAAUUUUCUGUCAUGGUCAAUGGGGUGCCAACAGGCUUCUUCUCGAACACCAAGGGGCUGCGUCAAGGGGAUCCUCUUUCUCCUUACCUUUUUGUCUUGGGUAUGGAAGUACUAAGUGCACUUAUAAGAAGGGCUGCUGAUGGGGGCUUCAUUUCAGGCUGUAGACUUCGGGGGAGAGGGAGGAUGGAGAUGAAUGUCUCCCACUUGCUUUUUGUUAACGAUACAAUUAUUUUAUGCGAAGCAAGGAAGGAGCAUCUAACCUCUUUAAGUUGGAUUUUGGCUUGGUUUGAGGCGGCUUCGGGCCUAAGAAUAAACCUAGCUAAAAACGAAUUAAUUCCUAUUGGGGAGGUUCAAGAGAUUGAGGAAAUGGCAGUGGAGCUAGGGUGUAGAGUGGGGUCUUUACCUACUGUUUAUCUGGGGCUGCCCCUUGGAGCCCAACACAAGGCUAUUUCUAUGUGGGAUGGGGUGGAAGAAAGAAUGAGGAAAAGAUUAGCCCUUUGGAAAAGACAAUAUAUUUCUAAGGGUGGGAGAAUCACCCUCAUUAAGAGCACACUGGCCAGCAUAUCUAUUUACCAAUUGUCCCUCUUUCGAAUGCCCAAGAUUGUAGCAAAAAGGCUUGAAAAAGUACAAAGAGACUUUCUUUGGGGAGGGGGAAGUUUGGAAAGGAAAGUCCACUUAAUCAAUUGGGAGGUGGUGUGUACUCAAAAGGAGAAGGGUGGUCUAGGCAUACGAAAGAUUGAUCUCUUGAACAAGGCUUUGCUGGGUAAAUGGAUUUGGAGAUUUGCCUUUGAAAAGGACAAUCUUUGCAAGAAGGUGAUCGGGGUGAAGUAUGGCCAAGAGGGCUUUGGGUGGCGGACUAAUGAAGCUCGCGGGACGUUUGGAGUGGGGGUUUGGAAGGAGAUUCUGAAGGAGGCAAACUGGUGUUGGGAUAACAUAGAGUUCAAGGUGGGUAAGGGGACUAAAGUCAAGUUUUGGACUGAUCAUUGGUGUGGCCAUGUGGCGUUGUCCCAAAAUUUUCCCCAGUUAUGUGCCUUGGCGGUCCAUAGGAAUGCAACGGUCAAUGAAGUGUGGGACUCAAGCCUUGGUCAAGGAGGUUGGAAUCUCAGAUUUUCUAGAGAUUUUAAUGAUUGGGAGCUGGAUUUGAUUGGAGAUUUGUUUAAUAUGUUGAGAGACUUUAGGAUUUCUUUAAAAGAGGACUCAGUGUUAUGGAAAGGAGGGGGUCAUGGCACUUUUGGGGUUAGAGAUGCUUAUAAUUUGCUGGUUGCUCCCAACACCCUCGCCUUCUCGAAAAAGUGCAUUUGGGUGGAUAAGGUCCCAACCAAAACUGUUUUUUUUUUUGCUUGGGAGGCCACAUGGGGGAAGAUUCUCACAUUGGAUAGGCUUAAAAAACGGGGGUGGCAGCUCCCUAAUCGCUGUUUUUUGUGUGGUUGUGAAGAGGAAAAUAUAAAUCACAUUCUUUUACACUGUAUAGUGGUCAGGGUCCUCUGGGAGAUCGUCUUUGCUUUGUUUGGGGUUCAGUGGGUGUUCCUAAAGACAGUCAAAGAGGUUUUACUUAGUUGGAGGGACCCUUUUGUGGGGAAAAAGGUGAAAAAAAAAUUUGGAAUUCCAUUCCGUUGUGUAUUUUUUGGACGGUAUGGAAGGAAAAGAAUAGAUUAGCUUUUAGGGGGGGUUCUUUAGCUAUACAGAAACUCAAAAAUUCUUUUGUUUGUAAUUUGUGGAGUUGGGUUAGGGUGUAUAUGGGAGAGGAGUCCUCUUCGCUCUUAGGCUUUUUGGAGUGGCUAGCGGCUACUUAAGGGCUGGUGAGGUUGUUUGUUUUUUGUGUUUUUUGGUUUAGGCUGCUAUGUAUACUCCUUGUAUGCUUUGUGGCUUUUUGCCCCUUAAUAUAUUUUGUGCUUAUUUAUAUAAAAAAAAAAAAGACAGGUCAAAGAAAUCCUUUAUUUCUCUUUGUUUCAAAUAAAAGUUCAAGCUACCUUAAAAAAUUUGUAUUCCUUAUGGUAAUAAAAUAUGUGUUAAAGCAUUUAAAAUAUAAAUGGGAAAAAGGGUUCUUUUUCUUAAAGUUUUUGGGUCUCUUAAACAUGAUUUUGUGGGGAAGAAACAAAAUGAAGCUUGGAGGGCUGUGCACCCUUGUGCUUGUUUUGGACUCUUUGGAAGGAAAGUAACAUGAAGUCUUUUAAUGAUGCUAAGCACGACCAAGCAAUCAAAUUAUAUCAUGUAUGCUUUAGUGAAUUGAGUUAGGGUGUACAUAGAGGAUCACUCAAUGACUAUAAUAGGUUUUGUAGAUUGGUUGAGCUUCAAGUGAGGAAAAGGAAUUUUUUGUGUAUCUUCUUCUUGUCUAGAUCGGGUGUGUAUUGUAUACAUGGUAUGUACCUUGGUGCGCCUCCUCUUAGGUGCUUUUAAUAUAUUUUCUCAUUUCCCUAGCAAAAGAAAAAGAGGGAAGACAUGUGUCUCAAGCUUAAGAAGACAUGUGGUGGCAUUACACUUCUAUACUAUGAGCUUCUGAAGAUUUGAGCUGUGGAGCUAUAAAGGAGGUCAAAUCAGUGACAGAGAAGUAGGUGAUGUUGUUUGGAAAAAUUUAUUUCAGGGAAAGUUGACAUACCUGC